rnacentral:rRNA from 1 species
AGCGGAGGGAUCAUUACUGAGUUACCGCUCAUCAACCCUUUGUGAACAUACCUUAACUGUUGCUUCGGCGGGUAGGCGUCCCCUAAAAAGGACGUCUCCCGGCCCUCUCCCGUCCGCGGGUGGGGCGCCCGCCGGAGGAUAACCAAACUCUGAUUUAACGACGUUUCUUCUGAGUGACACAAGCAAAUAAUCAAAACUUUUAACAACGGAUCUCUUGGUUCUGGCAUCGAUGAAGAACGCAGCGAAAUGCGAUAAGUAAUGUGAAUUGCAGAAUUCAGUGAAUCAUCGAAUCUUUGAACGCACAUUGCGCCCGCCAGCAUUCUGGCGGGCAUGCCUGUUCGAGCGUCAUUUCAACCCUCAAGCUCUGCUUGGUGUUGGGGCUCUACGGUUGACGUAGGCCCUUAAAGGUAGUGGCGGACCCUCUCGGAGCCUCCUUUGCGUAGUAACAUUUCGUCUCGCAUUGGGAUUCGGAGGGACUCUAGCCGUAAAACCCCCAAUUUUACUAAGGUUGACCUCGGAUCAGGUAGGAAUACCCGCUGAACUUAAGCAUAUCAAUA